rnacentral:lncRNA from 1 species
GCAAAUACCACAAAUGUGUGACUACAGCAUAUCCUGAUUGAUUUAUUUUACAGGGAUGAAAAUAUUGUUAUUUUAUCCCUAAUUGUUUUUUUUAAUAAAAUGCUUUCAACCCAAGAUUCUAAGGAUAUUCUCUUAUAGUAAAGCUAAACUAGUGUGUGUUGUCUUGCUUUAUAGCCAGCAAUUAUUUAUUUUAUUUGAAAAUUCUGCUAUUGUAUACUACAUAGUUUUUUAUUAUUAAAGUAUUUAAAAAAAAUUGUACUUACCAUAUUGUUAGCAUAAUAUACAGUAAGGAAAUAGUAUUUGUAAUAGUUGAUAGUUUGUGUUGUCAAUGUGAUAAUACAUAUCUCUUCUGUAUAUAAAUGGCAUACUUGAAACCUAUAGAAAUUCUUACUUGGUAGGCUAAAGUAUUACAACUGUUGUAGAUAUUUUCUUUCAUGUUUUUUUCUUUUAAUUGCUUGUUUGAGUUCCUUAUUUUUCUUUAGUUUUCUAAAACAUUAAAAAAUGAAGGUAUUCUAAGCCUUAACUGUGACAAUCAAAUAUGAUAUUUGAGAAAAACAUAAAAGAAUGCAGACAAAAUUGGAAGUUUUAUUUAUUUAUUAAGAAAGACCAAUGGUUGAAUAUGUUUUCUUUGAAAUAUUUAUUUGUAUAUUUUGAGGAAUUGUUAUUAAAUUUUUCCAUGUCUUCUACAUUUUAUUUUUAAAUAUUUGAAUUCUUUCACAGUCAGUGUCCUUGUCAAUAAAGACAAAGUCUUAGGGCAAAGUCAUUGGGGUAUAUUUUUCUAGGACUUUUGUUCCAUUUUGGAAUAUAGGAGCAAUAAGUUUAUUUACCAACCAUUAAGCAAGAAUCAUGCUCCUUAAUAUAAUAAUAUAAUUUUGAAGUAUCACUGCGGUCAUCUUUUAGAGGUCUUAGUGACUGAGGGAUCAAAAUGGUUGGUCUACAACUACAUGUACAGCUUUCAUUAGCAAAUAAGAUAUAAUGAAAUACUUAUGUCAUUUGUGAAGAUUAUUUUGACUUGGAGAUCAAGUAGAUCUAUUAGUAUGUAAUAGAAUUGGUUUUUUUUUAAAGAGAUACAAUGUUGCAUAUUAAACUCACUGCAUUGCCUGCAUAAGGAGUGCAAAUCAUCUUUACUUGAAUGAUUUUGUACAAUACCAGUCUUGAAAAGCUAUAUAAGGUAUUAUAAUCAUGUAACCAAAAUUUUUUCAGUCUUGAUUCUAUUAUUCAGUUCUUCAUUAGAGUUGGCAGCUGAGCCAUCAUAAGCAUGAAAUGAUAGUUAAACUCUAUCAGUGUAUAUCUGUUGAUGGAUAGUUUGAAAGAAUUUCUAAUAUGCUUAACAUAUCUUUUGAAUUUUGAAUUAAGACAUUUGAUGUUAUAAGACAUACAAAUUAGUUUUCAAAAGUAUCACAAAAUAAUAAAAUUCAUCUACUUGAAUUUUUUAGGGAAAAACUAGCCUAGUCAUUAUAAUGAUGACAUCCUCUGUUGUGGUAAUAAUGCACUUUGGCUAUGUUUUGAUUUCUAAAACCUGUGUAAAAACAAUCAUUAGAAAAUAAAUAAUGUUAUGUUUAAGUUCU